rnacentral:rRNA from 1 species
UACGUAGGGAGCAAGCGUUGUCCGGAAUCAUUGGGCGUAAAGCGCGCGUAGGUGGCCCCAUAAGUCCGCUGUGAAAGUCAAAGGCUCAACCUUUGAAAGCCGGUGGAUACUGUGGGACUAGAGUACGGAAGAGGCGAGUGGAAUUCCACGUGUAGCGGUGAAAUGCGUAGAGAUGUGGAGGAACACCAGUGGCGAAGGCGACUCUUUGGUCUGUAACUGACGCUGAGGCGCGAAAGCGUGGGGAGCAAACAGG